rnacentral:pre_miRNA from 1 species
AAAGUACUCCCUCCGUCCGAAAAUACUUGUCGAAAAAUGCAUAAAAAUGGAUGCAUCUAGAGCUAAAAUACAUCUAGAUACAUCCAUUCCUCUGACAAGUAUUUCCGAACGAAGGGAGUACAUG